rnacentral:rRNA from 1 species
UACGUAGGGUGCAAGCGUUAAUCGGAAUUACUGGGCGUAAAGCGUGCGCAGGCGGCUUUGCAAGACAGAUGUGAAAUCCCCGGGCUUAACCUGGGAACUGCAUUUGUGACUGCAUGGCUGGAGUGCGGCAGAGGGGGAUGGAAUUCCGCGUGUAGCAGUGAAAUGCGUAGAGAUGCGGAGGAACACCGAUGGCGAAGGCAGCCCCCUGGGUCGACACUGACGCUCAGGCACGAAAGCGUGGGGAGCAAACAGG